rnacentral:rRNA from 1 species
GACGAACGCUGGCGGCAUGCCUAAUACAUGCAAGUCGAGCGGGAUGAUGAGAGCUUGCUCUCUGAUUUUAGCGGCGGACGGGUGAGUAACACGUGGGCAACCUGCCCUACAGAUGGGGAUAACUCCGGGAAACCGGGGCUAAUACCGGAUAAUAUUUUGAACUGCAUAGUUCGAAAUUGAAAGGCGGCUUCGGCUGUCACUUAUGGAUGGACCCGCGUCGCAUUAGCUAGUUGGUGAGGUAACGGCUCACCAAGGCAACGAUGCGUAGCCGACCUGAGAGGGUGAUCGGCCACACUGGGACUGAGACACGGCCCAGACUCCUACGGGAGGCAG